rnacentral:rRNA from 1 species
ACUCUCGGCAACGGAUAUCUAGGCUCUCGCWUCRAUGAARAACGUASCGAAAUGCGAUACUUGGUGUGAAUUGCARAAUCCCGUGAACCAUCGAGUCUUUGAACGCAAGUUGCGCCCGAAGCCAUCAGGCCGAGGGCACGUCUGCCUGGGUGUCACGC